rnacentral:rRNA from 1 species
GUAGUCAUAUGCUUGUCUCAAAGAUUAAGCCAUGCAUGUCUCAGUACAAGCCAAAUUAAGGUGAAACCGCGAAAGGCUCAUUAAAUCAGUUAUGGUUCCUUAGAUCGUACCACAUUUACUUGGAUAACUGUGGUAAUUCUAGAGCUAAUACAUGCAAGCAGAACUCCGACCGGAGACGGAAGGAGUGCUUUUAUUAGAUCAAAACCAAUCGGUGGCAACAUCGUACACUUUGGUGACUCUGAAUAACUUUUUGCUGAUCGCACGGUCUUUCACCGGCGACGCAUCUUUCAAAUGUCUGCCUUACCAACUGUCGAUGGUAGGUUCUGCGCCUACCAUGGUUGCAACGGGUAACGGGGAAU